CGUGCAGGCGGUUUCGUAAGUCGGACGUGAAAGCUCCUGGCUCAACUGGGAGAGGUCGUUCGAUACUGCGGGACUUGAGGUUGGGAGAGGGACGUGGAAUUCCCGGUGUAGUGGUGGAAUGCGUAGAGAUCGGGAGGAACACCAGUGGCGAAGGCGGCGUCCUGGCCCACACCUGACGCUAAGACGCGAAAGCGUGGGUAGCGAACG
rnacentral:rRNA from 1 species